AGUAAAUCUUGCUGCUGCUCACUCUUUGGGUCCACACUGCCUUUAUGAGCUGUCACGCUCACCGGGAAGGUCUGCAGCUUCACUCCUGAAGCCAGCGAGACCACGAACCCACCGGGAGGAACGAACAACUCCAGACGCGCCGCCUUAAGAGCUGUAACACUCACCGCGAAGGUCCGCAGCUUCACUCCUGAGCCAGCGAGACCAUGAACCCCACCAGAAGGAAGAAACUCCGAACACAUCCGAACAUCAGAAGGAACAAACUCCGUACACGCCGCCUUUAAGAACUGUAACACUCACCGCGAGGGUCCGCGGCUUCAUUCUUAAAGUCAGUGAGACCAAGAACCCACUAAUGCCGGACACAGUAACUUCCGAAGUGUAGUGUUAGCAGUGUGUCUCCAAGGCUGAGGGAGGAAGCCUGCCAGCUGAUUCUAAUGUGCAGCCACAGUAAUAGCCAUACUACUAUUCACAAGAGCAAAGACUUGGAACCAACCCAAAUGCCCAUCAAUGGUAGACUGGAUAAAGAAAAUGUGGCACAUAUAUGCCGUGGAAUACUAUGCAGCCAUAAAAAAGGAGGCGCUCAUGUCCUUUGCAGGGACAUGGAUGAAGCUGGAAACCAUCAUCCUCAGCAAACUAAUACAAGAACAGAAAACCAAACACCGCAUGUUUUCACUCAUAAGUGAGAGCUGAACAAUGAGAACACAUGGACACUGGGAGGGGAACAUCACACACCAGGGCAUGUUGGGGGGUGGGGGGCUAGUGGAGGGAUAGCAUUAGGAGAAAUACCUAACGUAGAUGAUGGGUUGAUGGAUGCAGCAAACCACCAUGGCACGUGUAUACCUGUGUAACAAAACUGCACGUUCUGCACGUGUACCCCAGAACUUAAGGUAUAAUAAUAAAAAAAAGCCAUACUAAUGAGUGUUAAAUGGCACUUCACCGUGGCUGUUAUUUAGAUUUCCCUGAUAACUACUGAUAUUUCAUGUGCUUAAUGGUCAUUUGGAUAUCUUCUUUGAAGAAAUGCCUACCCAAGUCCUUUGCACAUUUUUGAAUUGGGUUAUUUAGUUGUUGUUCUUGAGUUGUAGGAGUUAUUUAUAUCUUCUGGAUAUUAAUCCUUUUUCAGAUGUAUGACUUAACAAAUAUUUUCACCCAUUCUGUUGCUUGUCUUUUCACUCUCAAUAGUUUCCUUUCAUGCAUAAAAGAAUAGCACAUUUUUGACACAUUAACAAACCAUGUGUACACUGCAAACAAUUCCAGCUACAUUUUUACUCUAUAGGCUUUUUAAUAGGAAUAUUGUUUUCACCCCAAUGCAAUCAAAAUUUGUAUCUGUCAUCACUAUGAAAAUACUACCUUUGAUGCUGAAUAUUUUGAAGGAAUUUAUAAUAGCAUUAAUCAUCAUAUCAUAUCAUUUCCCUUUGAUAGAAUGAAUUCUAAAAGCUUUACUUUGAUUCUGUGAAUUAGAGAUAAAAUUCAGCCAUUAUUAAAAUCAUUCUCUGUUUGAGAUACUGAUGACAUUGCUAUAAAACAAGCAUCAUUUAAUUGUUUGCAAAGUUCCUGUUCUGCUAAUGAAGCCAACUCCCUGACAGCUAUCAC
rnacentral:lncRNA from 10 species